GCAAAACAAAUAGCAGCAGAAUAUGUGUUAAUACAACUAGGUAUUUCAUUAGAUGGUAUGGAGACGACUGUUGUAUCAACGUCAAUACAAGUCCCAUCCCUUAGUGGGUCCAGUGUACCUGUUUUAGCUGCUGUUACUGCUACGUAUCUACCAUCUGGACAGUUUGGGCCCAUUCCAUCCAAUGCAACAGCUUACGAGCAAGGCUAUUAUGAAACAGCUGCACCACCGCCACCGCCACCACCUCCUCCUGCCCAAGUCCAGAUGUAUUAAAUAGAAAGACAUUUAACUUCCAUAUAAUGGCCAAGUAUUAUUUUAGCCAAAUUUAUAAACUGUUUCGUAUCUGCAGGCUCUAAUUCCAACUUAUAUUUUAUUAAAAAAUGAAAUAGACAUAUUGGAUAAUUUAAGAAUUUUUUUUUUUAAUAAGAUGGAUAUAUUAUUAUUUUAUAUGGUC
rnacentral:lncRNA from 1 species